rnacentral:rRNA from 1 species
CUAACUGUCUGCCAGCAGCCCCGGUCUUACAGAGGGUCCGAGCGUUAAUCGGAUUUACUGGGCGUAAAGCGUGAGUAGGCGGCUUUUUAAGUCGGAUGUGAAAUCCCCGAGCUUAACUUGGGAAUUGCAUUCGAUAUUGGGAAGCCAGAGUAUGGGAGAGGAUGGUAGAAUUCCAGGUGCAGCGGUGAAAUGCGUAGCGAUCUGGAGGAAUACCGAUGGCGAAGGCAGCCCUCUGGCCUAAUACUGACGCUGAGGUAAGAAAGCAUGGGGAGCAAACAGGAUUAGAUACCUUGGUAGUCCAUGCCGUAAACGAUGUCUACUAGCCGUUGGGGCCUUCGUGGCUUUAGUGGCGCAGCUAACGCGAUAAGUAGACCGCCCGGGGAGGGCGGUCGCAAG